ACUAAGGUGGCAGAGUAAGUGCAAUAGUUUUAAGAAUUAUAUAUGAAAUAUUUUCUCUUAGUA
rnacentral:tRNA from 1 species